rnacentral:rRNA from 1 species
UACGAAGGGGGCUAGCGUUGCUCGGAAUCACUGGGCGUAAAGCGCACGUAGGCGGAUCUUUAAGUCAGGGGUGAAAUCCCAAGGCUCAACCUUGGAACUGCCUUUGAUACUGGGGAUCUCGAGUCCGGAAGAGGUGAGUGGAACUGCGAGUGUAGAGGUGAAAUUCGUAGAUAUUCGCAAGAACACCAGUGGCGAAGGCGGCUCACUGGCCCGGUACUGACGCUGAGGUGCGAAAGCGUGGGGAGCAAACAGG